AAAUCACAGGCUAGUCAUCAGCAUCAAAACACAUAUUCACCAUGUGUCCAGCUCCCCUGUCAAAAAAAACAAACCAUUUCUCACUCUCAUCUUCUUUUCUUUCUCAAUCUCCUCCGUACCUUCCUCUCCUCGUUGCACCACAUCGACGCCGCGGCUCUGGAAUGUGAUGCCGUCGCUGCAGCUUUGCUGCGUCCCAUCGCCGCCUCGCCGUGCUCCUCUGCUUCUCUUUCCUCCACUUCUUUAUUGUGCUCCCCGUCGUGCUCCUCUGUUGCCGUGCCACCUCAGCUCCAUCCAUCGCUGCUCGAUUCACUCUCCAUCAUAACAAUAGAAAUUGGAGACCUGUGCUCUAAUCAUGGAGUGAAAACGUUCACUGAGGAAUUGAACAACUUCUCUGGUGUAAAAGGAUACUGCGUUUAUGCUUGCAUUCCUCUUGUUUUUUUAUAUUAAUUUCUUCACUAUAUGUAGAGUACAGUAAUUUUAUAGUGCAUCAUUUCUAGUAUUGCCCCAGUUAUGCUUAGAACUCAGCAUGCUGAAGCUGUAAUUUAACUUUCUUCACUGAUAAAGUUUCCCAAUUUUUCCAGUGAGGUAGGCAAUGGAUCAUGGAAUUCAUGGUUUCUGCCUUUGACAGAGCAGACUAAUAUUGUUUGUGAAAAGAUGAUUAGGAUUCCUGCAGUAUUAUGCAAAACACACUAGAAGCAGCAAUAAAUGACAUAAACAAUUCUUUUGGAAAGGGAAGUUUUACAAGUUGGGCAAUGCUGGGGGAGCUUUAGUUGAAACAUGUCCUAGUGGCUGUUUGACCUUGGACUGUGCUUUAGGUGGCGGUCUUCCAAAAGGUAGAAUUGCUGAGGUGCUAAACGCAGGCAAAAAUAAGCUUAGAUCCAUGGAUGAGGUCAGAUCACUUGUUAGCCUCCGAGCACUGAUUUUGAAGGGUCAGACUUCUUUUGCUAACUAUCAACUUUGAAGACAAGAAGAGGGCAAGAUUCCAUGGUUAGAAUGAGGAUGAUCGUGCUGAAGUUGUUGAUAAUCUUGAAUUUGAGAGAAAAUCGAGUAAGAAAAAGAAGAAAACUGUUUAUGAUUUCAAGAAGGAAGUCAGAGUCGCUGACGAGGAAAAUUAGAUCAUAACAAGAAAUCAACUAAGAAAAAGCUCAAGAAUGAUAGACAAGCCCACAGACAAGAAAUUAGCUCUGCAGGAGAAUGUUAUUUGGAUCGAGAAGAAACAUAAGAAAAAACAAAAGAAUGAGAACAAAGUGAACUUGAUACGAUUGUUUAUAUCUAAUGUAUCAAUACACUAUUUGUGUUUAUGUUUUGAGUUGACUUGUUUGUUUUUAAUACUUUUCUUUUAGGUUGAUAAUACGAUGAACUUGUAUAUUUUUUAAAAUACUAUGAAUGUUCUAAUACAAGUUAGAUAAAAAUUAGAUGAAAAUU